AACUACAUUUUCAAGUACUUGCAUUUGUAUGUGCUUGAAGUUGUCUUGAUUCAUCAUUAGUGAAGUAUGCUAAAUUUAUUUCAAACAAAUAGCAUAAUAUUUUGGUGACAAUCAGACAAUAAAUCAACACUGUAGUUCCACUAGGAUGCAGCAUGCAUUAUCUUUCUUCCACCUUUUGCAGUUGAUACUUAUUGUUUGGUCCUCUCUUUCGCAGUUCGAUGCCAUUCCUCCAGAGAUUGGCAUUUCACGGAAUUCAGGCAGUAAGAAAACUAAGGAAGAGGAAGGAGCAAGGAGAAAAGCUGGAGCAGUGAAAAUCAGUCCAUGGACAUUGGCGCGGCUUAAUGCAGAGGAAGUCUCAAAGGCAGCCGCGGAGGCAAGGAAGAAAUCCAAAAUCCUGAAACCAGUUGGAAAACAUGGCGCCCCAGAGAAUAGCAGCAAACCAGACCAUUUGCCUACCGACAAGAGACGACUAGACAGGAGAGGUUUCCCUGCUGAACUCUCUCUUGACCCACUUGCAACUCUAUCCGCAAGCGGCACCGAAAGCAACUACAGUGACGCAGCAACAGAAAUAUGUGGCAGUCUAGCCCCGUUACAGCUCGAAGCGAGAAGUGCUUUCCAACCGAGUACUGCAGCGUCCACAAGAAAUGUUGCUUCAUCGCCUGAAAGUAGCUUUGACUCACCAAAUCUCCACCCCUUCCGCACUUCCUCGGCCACAGCUGAUGAGAUGCAGGGAGCCAUGAUGCAUACAGCUCACAGGGGCAUCGAGUUUAAAAGAUCGUCUAGCGAUGGUUAUGAAGCAUCAAGAGGCGAAGAUAGCGACCGCAUCCCUUCAAGGAUCGUGCACAGGCCGUCAAACUGGGCCAGUGUCUUUCUGAAUUCUAGUCAGGGAGACCCUCCAGCUGAUCUGCUGUCGGCAUCAGCUGAAGGUUUUGUAGCUAACGGCUCUGGUUCCUAGAGCAGGCAUUGCUAGGUAUGGCUGAGCGAUGUUGACAAGACAUUGAUUAUUCUAUUAGACUAGCAUAUAGUCUAUACUAAGUACUAACGUUACGAUUUGG